rnacentral:rRNA from 1 species
UUGCGGCGUGCUUAACACAUGCAAGUCGAACGGAAAGGCCCUGCUUUUGUGGGGUGCUCGAGUGGCGAACGGGUGAGUAACACGUGAGUAACCUGCCCUUGACUUUGGGAUAACUUCAGGAAACUGGGGCUAAUACCGGAUAGGAGCUCCUGCUGCAUGGUGGGGGUUGGAAAGUUUCGGCGGUUGGGGAUGGACUCGCGGCUUAUCAGCUUGUUGGUGGGGUAGUGGCUUACCAAGGCUUUGACGGGUAGCCGGCCUGAGAGGGUGAUCGGCCACAUUGGGACUGAGAUACGGCCCAGACUCCUACGGGGGGCAGCAGUGGGGAAUAUUGCACAAUGGGCGGAAGCCUGAUGCAGCAACGCCGCGUGCGGGAUGACGGCCUUCGGGUUGUAAACCGCUUUCGCCUGUGACGAAGCGUGAGUGACGGUAAUGGGUAAAGAAGCACCGGCUAACUACGUGCCAGCAGCCGCGGUGAUACGUAGGGUGCGAGCGUUGUCCGGAUUUAUUGGGCGUAAAGGGCUCGUAGGUGGUUGAUCGCGUCGGAAGUGUAAUCUUGGGGCUUAACCCUGAGCGUGCUUUCGAUACGGGUUGACUUGAGGAAGGUAGGGGAGAAUGGAAUUCCUGGUGGAGCGGUGGAAUGCGCAGAUAUCAGGAGGAACACCAGUGGCGAAGGCGGUUCUCUGGGCCUUUCCUGACGCUGAGGAGCGAAAGCGUGGGGAGCGAACAGGCUUAGAUACCCUGGUAGUCCACGCUGUAAACGGUGGGUACUAGGUGUGGGGUCCAUUCCACGGGUUCCGUGCCGUAGCUAACGCUUUAAGUACCCCGCCUGGGGAGUACGGCCGCAAGGCUAAAACUCAAAGGAAUUGACGGGGCCCCGCACAAGCGGCGGAGCAUGCGGAUUAAUUCGAUGCAACGCGUAGAACCUUACCUGGGUUUGACAUGGAUCGGGAGUGCUCAGAGAUGGGUGUGCCUCUUUUGGGGUCGGUUCACAGGUGGUGCAUGGCUGUCGUCAGCUCGUGUCGUGAGAUGUUGGGUUAAGUCCCGCAACGAGCGCAACCCUUGUUCACUGUUGCCAGCACGUUAUGGUGGGGACUCAGUGGAGACCGCCGGGGUCAACUCGGAGGAAGGUGGGGAUGACGUCAAGUCAUCAUGCCCCUUAUGUCCAGGGCUUCACGCAUGCUACAAUGGCUGGUACAGAGAGUGGCGAGCCUGUGAGGGUGAGCGAAUCUCGGAAAGCCGGUCUCAGUUCGGAUUGGGGUCUGCAACUCGACCUCAUGAAGUCGGAGUCGCUAGUAAUCGCAGAUCAGCAACGCUGCGGUGAAUACGUUCCCGGGGCUUGUACACACCGCCCGUCAAGUCAUGAAAGUUGGUAACACCCGAAGCCGGUGGCCUAACCGUUGUGGGGGAGCCGUCGAAGGUGGGACUGGUGAUUAGGA